GAAAAUUCUUGCAACAACCCUGUGAAGUGUGGUGGACUUACAGACCUGAAUCCUUAAAUUCACAUCCCUGUGAAGAACAUAAGUCCUGCUUUGUAUUCUUCACAUGCCUCGAGAGCCAGCAGCUCAAACUGUGGCACGAAUAUUGACAGUUUGGCUAAGAGGAAAGAAGGGAGAAGUGUGGCUAGCAACGAUCCUCUAGAGAAUAAGAAGAAACUAUGACAUUUUUGGACGGCAUUACGAACUGGGGGAAAAGUUUGGCGAAAACAGGAAGCUGCCUUUGAGAAGAAUUUGGCAUUAGAUACGGAUUCGAAUCCACAUUCCGCCACUUAGUAGCUAUGUCACGAGGAACAGUCAGUCUCUCUGCGCCCGUGUCUCAGGGCCCUUCUCUGAGAGGCUGUGAGGCGGCUUCAUGGCCCCGGAAAUUCAGUAUAAGCCUUUCUGAGAGAGAAGUCCUUGUGAUAAAAGCCAGCUGCCCAGACAUUUCCAGCCUCCUCACCCAUCCCCCAGCCGACCGCCGAAGCAGCGGGUUGGCGGAGAUCCAGCUCUCCUCCGAAGCGAUGGGAUUGUUCCAGGGCCAGGAAUGAGAGCAAUCUGCCCAGACUGGAGACGGCUUCAGCUCCUCCACUUGCUUCAUGUUCCUAGUCUCCUUCCCCAAUGGAUCCAGCCCCAUUUGCCAGCGUUGGGGAUAUUGUUUUAGCACUGGGACGCAUGGAGGUCUUCAUAUUAAAAAAAUGAUUUUUGAGUCUAUUUUUUAAUUCCAUGGAAGUUUUUCUGUUUUUCUUUGUACCCUGGGAGAAGAGCUGUGAGUUCAUUUUAAUUUACAGCUACUUGUCUGCCAAUCGAUAGGGGCCGCCUCUGGCUGUUGUCCAAGCGUAGCACCUUUCUGGAUCUGACUCAAGUGUCGAGACUGUGGUUUCACCUUCCCCGCUUUACAUCGGGGCGGGAAGGUUUAGUUAUUUGACUGGCUUAGGCCAGGAAAUUAUUGGCUAUUGUCAAUGGAAUUUGUUUAUCUUUUCCACUCCUCUGCAUUCCUAGACUCUGAUAGAAGUCAUCAUCACUGUGAUUGCACUCCAGUCUAACUCCUCCCCUUUGUCUCUUUUUAUUAAAUGCUUGCUGUUUCUCUCUUUUUUAGAUGUAAAUUCAGGGACCCCCAUGCAGACAUUUCAGAAAGGGGUCCCUUGAUCAGCAGUUGUUAAAAAAAAGAAAAAAAAUCUACCGAACAUCUCUUCUGUCCCCUUUUUAUUCGGCCACCGCCUGAAUGUUUUCUGCAGGUAUUCUCCAAGAUUUAGGAUAUAUCUAUCUACAUAACUUUUUAAAUUUAUGCUUGAUGCAUGCAUAAUUCUCAUGAGCUUCUAGACCAGCAUUGUCCAACAGAAUUAACACAAACCAUGUACAAUUAAAAUCUUUCUAGUGGUACUAUUACAGAAAUAAAAGAAAUAGGUUAUUUUAAUUUUACGAUGUGUUUUUUAGCUCAAUAUAUAAAAAUACUAUAAUUUGGACAUGUAAUUGAUAUAAAAUUAUUAUUGAUAUAUUUUCUACUUGUUUGUACUAAGUUUUCAAAAUCUGCACAGCGUAUCUCUGUUUGGACAGACCCCAUUCAUGUGGUCAGUAGCCAGAUGUGGCCAUAUGUCAUAUGUCACCACAGAUCUAUCCUGGAACUUUUCUUCUCUCUUGAAAAAGCAUUGCGCUGUACUGGCAAUUAUGUCCCCAUCGCAGUGGCUUAGAAAACAGGCAUGAGUCUGUGCCUCAUGUCUUUGCCCAUGAUUAACACAUACCUAGAGGUUUUUCCUUUGUUAGGAAAACUAAUUGGGAUAAAAUACCCUAAAACGUGAAUUCGGAGUAGCAUGUGUCAAGUCUCCUAAACAGUUGGCUGACUUACUGACUGCUCAUGAUAAAAAUUCCUUUGUCUUCUGGAAGCACGAAGCAGUCAGAGCAGGACUCAGCAUUAAGCCCAGUCCCUGGAUGCCUUCUCUCACCCAGAAGCCAUGGAAGUCCGUUUCAUGCUCCUGAAGGCCGCUGCAGCGCUGCGCAUGGUGCUCGUGAGUGACGUGGCACUGUCACGCCUCGCUCCCCGCCACGGGUACCGUCAAGGUCAUGAGGUUUCAAGGGUGAAAGGUGACUGAUGUUUAGGAUGCUAGCUCCCAUGCUUUAUGCCUCAUCUUGUGCCCUCAUUUUUCCAGGACCCCUCAAUUACCUUCUUUGAGAAAAUGGUUAUUGAGUGUUAAAGACCAUUACUGAGUCUCAAAUGUACAUGGUUAUGGCUGGAUUUCAGCCACUGGAGGGUCAGUAUAAUCUAUUUUAGGACAGUGUUUCUCAAACUUUAAUGUGGAUGAGAAUCACCUGGGGAUCUUAUUAAAAUGAGAUUUUGAUGCAGCAGGAAUGAAGUGGGGCCUGCGAGUUUGCCUUCUUCAGAAAUUCUCCAGUGAUCCUGAUGCUGCUGGUCCACAGACCACAUUGGAGCACAAGGAUCUUAUGGUAACAGAAAUGCCAAUCUGUGAUAAGUUAUUAUCAAACCGCAGCAGAAAGAGGAAAAUAAUAAUGUAGUGAGUGAGGUUUUCCACCAUUUUUGCUUUAUGUUUUUUAACAUUCAGAAAUAAUUUCUUUUCUGCCUUCCUGUUACCAUGGUGAUUGUAAAUGGUAGUUAUUAUUUAAAAAAAAACUUUCAUUGCAAAAUUAAAAAGCUGACAACCCUAUUUAUGUCUCCAAGUUAAUAAAAGAAAAUAAUUUUACUAAUCCACAAACUGUUAAAGUCUGAUGCCACCACCACCUAAAUUAGGAGUUUAUAAUUUCCUUUCCUGGCACUUACAGUAUUUUGUAUUGAUAUAAUUACUUGGGUAGUUGUUUAAUGCCACUUUCCCCACUGUGCUCUAAGCCAAAUAUACAUUUAUAUUUAUAUAUAUAUAUCCCCCCCCACUGCUUUGGUCCCUACUGUCUAGCACUGGGUCUGGUAUCCUGUUAGUCCCUAAUCGGUAUUUUUAGGACAGUUUUAUUCGGUGGGUCUUAGUGGGAGUGGUACUGCCUCUCCUCAGGGAGUGUUUGGAAACUCGUGGGAACUAAUUUUGGUUGUCCACAAGAAUGGAGUAUGCCGUUGGUGUUUGAUGGGUGGAGGACCAGAGGUGCUAGACAUUCUGGGGUAUACAGAAAAAUAGCCAACUGAUGAAAGCUUAUUCUGUGCAUUCUGCACAAUCUUAGAAUGUCUCUGUUGAAGAUUCAGUUGGUGAAAAAAGCUAUUUGUAAUCACCUGAGCCAAAUAUCUAACCCCGCUUAACAUAUGAAACAAAAACUUUUUUUUUUGGCCCAAUUUUCAUGUGUUCUGAAAUUUUCAGUAAUGUAACUGCUGAGUACAUCAGAGUUGUACUUUGAUUUAUUGGAGACUUUGCAAAGACAUAUCCACCGUUUUGGCAAAUCCCAUCACUAGAAGCAGUGCUGCCUGUGGUAUUUAAACUGUACCAACACACAUUUAUGGACAGUGUGAUGAAUAUGGACAUACAUAUAUGUAUAUACACAUGCACACACACACACACACAUUCAGUCUUUAUUUAAAAAUAUCCACUAAAGUAUCGAAAAUAUGCAGGUGAAUGUCUGUCUUUUAAAUUCAUAUUUACUCAUUAAAAAUAGUUGUAAGCAUCUUAUUAUCUCAUUAUAUCAUUUAUUGUAGUCAUGUCUAUUUGCAUAUUAAGAUAUAUAUACGUAUAUACAUACAGUUUACACAUCUGAAAGACAGUAAAAAUUACUUCUCUUUAUUUUACCUCUAUAUUACAGUUUUCUCUCUCUUUCCAUGUGUGUAUUCACUAUCUCUGGAUUUCAAACAUUUGCUGUGAAAAGGUGGCACUGAUCUGAUUGAUAGGGCUGAAAAUUCCUGUUCUUACGGGAGCAUCAAGGAAUCAAACAUUCCUACAUUCUGGCUUUGGCUGAUUUCUCCAAGCUGUUCAAUGAGUAGCUGUGAAUUCGCUGGGUGAUGGACAUCAUGCAAGUGAUAGUGUUUUGUGAGUGACUAAACACACAGCGACAUGCCUUAGCUGACUUGGUGACUCUGCCUAGAGCCCCUGGGAAAGGCAGACUGCUCACCUGAGACUCACUGCUGUGCUUCCCCUGCAUUUUCCAUUCGGGAAACAGACCAUCUUGGAGGAAGGGGUUUGCCAAAUGCCGACAUAGGAUGGGGUCUAGGGAGUGCUGGUAGUGGUGGUGGGGCUGUUUUAAUGAGUUAAAGUUCAAGUUUGUCAGGUGAACAAAAGUAGAUGAUGUUUUAUCUUUCCAAGAAGAAUUUCAGAUACUUAGACUAGGGGUCAUUAUUGUAAGAAUUUUUGGACAGUUAUAUAUUUGUCUGUUUGAGAGUGACUUACAACAAAAUCCAUUGAGACUCACAGCCCGGGGAGACUUGUGUGUCUUUCUCAGUGGUUGGCUUGGAUGUGCUACCAGACACAAAGGCGGAGGGGAGUACGCAGUGUACAUGUGGUGCCAGGAAAGGGGACUGAGUUGGGGAAAGAUGGUAGUAGUAGGUUCCACAGCAGAAAGCCCCUUCUCACACAGCUAAUUCCAAUAGGCUUAGCUGGCUAGAAUGUUGCUCAUUAAUUGGAACUAGAAAGAUGUAGGAGGCUCAAGGAUAAUUGGCACUGGAAAAAGUUCACCGAAGGUGAAUCCGCUUAAGAUGGAGAUCAACAUUUCACGUCUCAUAGGCAUCCAAGGUUUAAUUGAGAUUUGGUUCUUAUGGAAAAAGAACUGAUAAUCAUGAAAAUAAAGUUUGUUCUGGUUUUUAUUUGCAACUCCGUGCUGCUUUUUAGAAAAAAAAAAAUGAAUUAAGGUUUUCUUUGGAGUAUUCUGAAAAUUUUAUGAUAACACAUUUGCUAUCCGUCAUUUAAACAUAAUCAUUUAAACAUAAACAUUUAAACAUAAUCAUAAAGAGUCCUUUUUGUUUAUUUUUAUUUUUUCA